GACGAACGCUGGCGGCGUGCCUAAUACAUGCAAGUAGAACGCUGAAGGAGGAGCUUGCUCUUCUGGAUGAGUUGCGAACGGGUGAGUAACGCGUAGGUAACCUGCCUGGUAGCGGGGGAUAACUAUUGGAAACGAUAGCUAAUACCGCAUAACAGUAGAUGUUGCAUGACAUUUGCUUAAAAGGUGCAAUUGCACCACUACCAGAUGGACCUGCGUUGUAUUAGCUAGUUGGUGGGGUAACGGCUCACCAAGGCGACGAUACAUAGCCGACCUGAGAGGGUGAUCGGCCACACUGGGACUGAGACACGGCCCAGACUCCUACGGGAGGCAGCAGUAGGGAAUCUUAGGCAAUGGACGGAAGUCUGACCGAGCAACGCCGCGUGAGUGAAGAAGGUUUUCGGAUCGUAAAGCUCUGUUGUAAGAGAAGAACGAGUGUGAGGGUGGAAAGUUCACACUGUGACGGUAUCUUACCAGAAAGGGACGGCUAACUACGUG
rnacentral:rRNA from 1 species